CUCCAGGUUCAUCAAUUCAACCAGUAUCCUCCUUUGUUGGUCCCUCCUCAGGAGGGGCGGUAGCUGAGGUGGCCAGUGCAUAUGGAGCCACGCCGGCCACUCUGAGGCUCGAGGCUUCAGCCUUGAGGGACCCCAGGUUGGUGAGUGAGUUGCUCUUCGAGAUGCUCCUUCCUGCUAAUGCAAAUGAACUGCUAAACAUCCCUAAGA
rnacentral:lncRNA from 1 species